UACGUAGGGGGCAAGCGUUGUCCGGAAUCAUUGGGCGUAAAGCGCGUGUAGGCGGCCAGAAAAGUCCGCUGUGAAAACUCGAGGCUCAACUUCGAGCUGUCGGUGGAAACUUUCUGGCUAGAGUCCGGAAGAGGAGAAUGGAAUUCCUGGUGUAGCGGUGGAAUGCGCAGAUAUCAGGAGGAACACCUGCGGUGUAGACGGCUUACUGGACCAUAACUGACGCUGAGGCACGAAAGCGUGGGUAGCAAACAGG
rnacentral:rRNA from 1 species